UUUUUUUUUUUUUGCAUUCGUUUUUAUAUUCUGAGUGGAAUUUUUAAAUAAAAAUUAAAACUUUCAACAACGGAUCUCUUGGCUCUGGCAUCGAUGAAGAACGCAGCGAAAUGCGAUAAGUAAUGUGAAUUGCAGAAUUCAGUGAAUCAUCGAAUCUUUGAACGCACAUUGCGCCCGCCAGUAUUCUGGCGGGCAUGCCUGUUCGAGCGUCAUUUCAACCCUCAAGCCCCCCGGGCUUGGUGUUGGGGAUCGGCACAAGGCCCCUCGCGGCCCGCCGUCCCCCAAAUGCAGUGGCGGUCACGUCGCAGCCUUCUAUGCGUAGUAGCAACACCUCGCACUGGAGCGCGACGCGGCCACGCCGUAAAACCCCCGACUUUUUCUGGUGACCUCGA
rnacentral:rRNA from 1 species